AAGAAAGGGCGGGAACAUCGAGGGGGUUGGAGAGAGAACGGCGGGAAGAAAAGCGCGGGAAGCGACAGCGGCGCCCAGCGCUCCUAUUGGCUGGCGGGCUGAAGGGACAGCUAUAAAAGGUGCGCGCGCGGGCAGGUGAGCGAGACGUUUUCCACAGCGUUGUGAAGAGGAGCGGGGUGCUGCGAAGGAAAGACGCCGGCGGUAGCAGCGACAGCGGCUACAAGCGGUCUCCAGAGCCGAGCAGUGUGGGGACGCGGGAGGCAGGAGCGAGCAAGAAGAGGAUGCCGAAGCGUGCCGACGCGGGGGGGAAGGAGAGAGGCAGGCUGGGCAAAGCAGGUGUCCCGUUAGCGGGGCCGCAGUCACAUGAGAGUUUGAGCGUUGCCGGUGCCUUGGCCGGCUUUGUGCUGGGCGACCUCCCUGUAAGCAGGGCUCGGGUCUUUGCUUUUGCUGUAGUUGGGCUUUUGCCUUGCUGCUCCUUAGGCUGCCUGGGGAGCGUGGCCCCCUGUAACGGAGGGCGAGAGCCACCUCUCCGCACCUGAGUGGGAAAUGGAGCUCGCCGGACCCCGAGGCCGCCCUGUAAGCAGGGUAGUGCCGUUUGCCCGUCCCUCUUCCUCCUCCGGCCCCUCGGCAUCGUUGCCUGGUGGUGGCCCGUAAAUGCGACGGCGCCGUACUCGGGGUGCGCGUCACGGCAUCUGGCCUUUGGCUUUAGCUGGGAAGCCCCUUGGCACGUUGAGGUCUGUGGCCUCCGUGCAGGCUAGGGACAGGUUGCAGGCUCUUGUCUGUUGCCCGCGGUUGUGGGUUUAUUCCCAGGGUUUGGCUGCGCUGCGUUGUCCUUCCCUUCUGGAAAGUCGCAUCUGUGCGCGUGUGUUCCCCUUCCUUUCCAUGUUUGUGUCUGUGGUGUGACUGAGCGACUGAGCUUCCCUUUAGGCUCCCACAAAAAUGGCUGCAGCCUAGCUUCGACUUACCAGGGGGGAACGGAGGACUUUGGUGCAUGCCACAAAAGGGGUGUUCCCUCUCAGUCCCGCGAGCGCAGCGAGUGUCCUGUCUUCCUCUAAAUUACUUAGCAGAGAUCAGAGCCACGUGGUAGUUCUGUGGCUGAGGCCGCCCUGUAGCCAGGGCAUGGGCCAGUCCUUUAGUGGGCGCCUGCUCCGCUGGCGGUGUGACAGCCCCGUAGUCGGGGCGUGUGUCCCAAGCUGCGGAGGCCUCUGUCCCGCGAGCGGCCCGCCCUCCCUGUAAUCAGGUGUGGGGAGGCUGCAGCAUUGCAGCCGGCUGCUCUAGCCAUCCAGCUGGUGGGAUUGACCCCUCCCUGUCCCGUCAGAGGGUGCAGGUUGAGGUGCUGGUUUUGUGUGUGGGGUGACCUCCCCGCUCGGUGGGUCGAGGUUGCUCCCCGGGUUCCCAAAGACGAGAGCUUGGUGCUGUUGUGCUGCUGCCGGGCGGGCCAGCCUGUAGCUCAGGCGUUGGCGGGAGCCUCGUGCUCCGCGGGGCUUCUUGGUGAGGGUGGGGUGUGGGGGUACCGUCCUGUAGGCAGGGCUGUGCGUGCCCCCGGUGUGUGCUUGGUGAGCUGCGUUGAGAGAGACCCCCUGUAGUCAGGCGGGCAUGUGGCCCUGGCCUUUCAGAGGCACGGGGCCGCGAGAUGCGGGGUUGGGCUUGCGCCCUCCCUGGAAUCAGGGCUGGGAGCCCGAGCGCGGCAUUUGGCCGUGUUGCCCCGCUGCCUGGCAGCUGAGAGUCGCUCCCGCCGCUGGGGGGGAAACCGAGCUCUGUGGCUCCAGGGGUGUUGUCCACCCGCCUGUAAUCAGGGUCUGGGUGUGCGAGCGCUUGUGCUCAGCUGGCAGCCUGUGUGGGGUGACCGCCCCGUUAGCGGGGUGCGGGUCAAGGUGCCCCCUGAGUGGGAGAGAAGGAGCCUCCCGCGGCCGGUAGGGAUGGGGGCUGCCCUGUAAGGUGGGGAGCGCCAGUGCCCCGCAGUCCCAGGCCCUUUGCAAUGGAUGCAGUGGCGGGGGUCCCCUGUAAUCAGGGAAGAUGACUCUUUGGCCGCUGCUGUGUGUGUGCCCAGCUCCAUUUGCCCAGUCUGCCCGCCUCUGUGAUCCCCCGCAGCACCGGCUGGAAGCGCGCCGUGCGCCAGUGAGGAGCUGCUGCAGGAGGAGGAGGAGGAGGAGGAAGAAGAAGAAAUGUCGUGGGGACGCGGGAGGCAGGAGCGAGCAAGAAGAGGAUGCCGAAGCGUGCCGACGCGGGGGGGAAGGAGAGAGGCAGGCUGGGCAAAGCAGGUGUCCCGUUAGCGGGGCCGCAGUCACAUGAGAGUUUGAGCGUUGCCGGUGCCUUGGCCGGCUUUGUGCUGGGCGACCUCCCUGUAAGCAGGGCUCGGGUCUUUGCUUUUGCUGUAGUUGGGCUUUUGCCUUGCUGCUCCUUAGGCUGCCUGGGGAGCGUGGCCCCCUGUAACGGAGGGCGAGAGCCACCUCUCCGCACCUGAGUGGGAAAUGGAGCUCGCCGGACCCCGAGGCCUCCCUGUAAGCAGGGUAGUGCCGUUUGCCCGUCCCUCUUCCUCCUCCGGCCCCUCGGCAUCGUUGCCUGGUGGUGGCCCGUAAAUGCGACGGCCCCGUACUCGGGGUGCGCGUCACGGCAUCUGGCCUUUGGCUUUAGCUGGGAAGCCCCUUGGCACGUUGAGGUCUGUGGCCUCCGUGCAGGCUAGGGACAGGUUGCAGGCUCUUGGCUGUCCUUUAGUGGGCGCCUGCUCCGCUGGCGGUGUGACAGCCCCGUAGUCGGGGCGUGUGUCCCAAGCUGCGGAGGCCUCUGUCCCGCGAGCGGCCCGCCCUCCCUGUAAUCAGGUGUGGGGAGGCUGCAGCAUUGCAGCCGGCUGCUCUAGCCAUCCAGCUGGUGGGAUUGACCCCUCCCUGUCCCGUCAGAGGGUGCAGGUUGAGGUGCUGGUUUUGUGUGUGGGGUGACCUCCCCGCUCGGUGGGUCGAGGUUGCUCCCCGGGUUCCCAAAGACGAGAGCUUGGUGCUGUUGUGCUGCUGCCGGGCGGGCCAGCCUGUAGCUCAGGCGUUGGCGGGAGCCUCGUGCUCCGCGGGGCUUCUUGGUGAGGGUGGGGCGUGGGGGUACCGUCCUGUAGGCAGGGCUGUGCGUGCCCCCGGUGUGUGCUUGGUGAGCUGCGUUGAGAGAGACCCCCUGUAGUCAGGCGGGCAUGUGGCCCUGGCCUUUCAGAGGCACGGGGCCGCGAGAUGCGGGGUUGGGCUUGCGCCCUCCCUGGAAUCAGGGCUGGGAGCCCGAGCGCGGCAUUUGGCCGUGUUGCCCCGCUGCCUGGCAGCUGAGAGUCGCUCCCGCCGCUGGGGGGGAAACCGAGCUCUGUGGCUCCAGGGGUGUUGUCCACCCGCCUGUAAUCAGGGUCUGGGUGUGCGAGCGCUUGUGCUCAGCUGGCAGCCUGUGUGGGGUGACCGCCCCGUUAGCGGGGUGCGGGUCAAGGUGCCCCCUGAGUGGGAGAGAAGGAGCCUCCCGCGGCCGGUAGGGAUGGGGGCUGCCCUGUAAGGUGGGGAGCGCCAGUGCCCCGCAGUCCCAGGCCCUUUGCAAUGGAUGCAGUGGCGGGGGUCCCCUGUAAUCAGGGAAGAUGACUCUUUGGCCGCUGCUGUGUGUGUGCCCAGCUCCAUUUGCCCAGUCUGCCCGCCUCUGUGAUCCCCCGCAGCACCGGCUGGAAGCGCGCCGUGCGCCAGUGAGGAGCUGCUGCAGGAGGAGGAGGAGGAGGAGGAAGAAGAAGAAAUGUCGUGGGGACGCGGGAGGCAGGAGCGAGCAAGAAGAGGAUGCCGAAGCGUGCCGACGCGGGGGGGAAGGAGAGAGGCAGGCUGGGCAAAGCAGGUGUCCCGUUAGCGGGGCCGCAGUCACAUGAGAGUUUGAGCGUUGCCGGUGCCUUGGCCGGCUUUGUGCUGGGCGACCUCCCUGUAAGCAGGGCUCGGGUCUUUGCUUUUGCUGUAGUUGGGCUUUUGCCUUGCUGCUCCUUAGGCUGCCUGGGGAGCGUGGCCCCCUGUAACGGAGGGCGAGAGCCACCUCUCCGCACCUGAGUGGGAAAUGGAGCUCGCCGGACCCCGAGGCCGCCCUGUAAGCAGGGUAGUGCCGUUUGCCCGUCCCUCUUCCUCCUCCGGCCCCUCGGCAUCGUUGCCUGGUGGUGGCCCGUAAAUGCGACGGCGCCGUACUCGGGGUGCGCGUCACGGCAUCUGGCCUUUGGCUUUAGCUGGGAAGCCCCUUGGCACGUUGAGGUCUGUGGCCUCCGUGCAGGCUAGGGACAGGUUGCAGGCUCUUGUCUGUUGCCCGCGGUUGUGGGUUUAUUCCCAGGGUUUGGCUGCGCUGCGUUGUCCUUCCCUUCUGGAAAGUCGCAUCUGUGCGCGUGUGUUCCCCUUCCUUUCCAUGUUUGUGUCUGUGGUGUGACUGAGCGACUGAGCUUCCCUUUAGGCUCCCACAAAAAUGGCUGCAGCCUAGCUUCGACUUACCAGGGGGGAACGGAGGACUUUGGUGCAUGCCACAAAAGGGGUGUUCCCUCUCAGUCCCGCGAGCGCAGCGAGUGUCCUGUCUUCCUCUAAAUUACUUAGCAGAGAUCAGAGCCACGUGGUAGUUCUGUGGCUGAGGCCGCCCUGUAGCCAGGGCAUGGGCCAGUCCUUUAGUGGGCGCCUGCUCCGCUGGCGGUGUGACAGCCCCGUAGUCGGGGCGUGUGUCCCAAGCUGCGGAGGCCUCUGUCCCGCGAGCGGCCCGCCCUCCCUGUAAUCAGGUGUGGGGAGGCUGCAGCAUUGCAGCCGGCUGCUCUAGCCAUCCAGCUGGUGGGAUUGACCCCUCCCUGUCCCGUCAGAGGGUGCAGGUUGAGGUGCUGGUUUUGUGUGUGGGGUGACCUCCCCGCUCGGUGGGUCGAGGUUGCUCCCCGGGUUCCCAAAGACGAGAGCUUGGUGCUGUUGUGCUGCUGCCGGGCGGGCCAGCCUGUAGCUCAGGCGUUGGCGGGAGCCUCGUGCUCCGCGGGGCUUCUUGGUGAGGGUGGGGCGUGGGGGUACCGUCCUGUAGGCAGGGCUGUGCGUGCCCCCGGUGUGUGCUUGGUGAGCUGCGUUGAGAGAGACCCCCUGUAGUCAGGCGGGCAUGUGGCCCUGGCCUUUCAGAGGCACGGGGCCGCGAGAUGCGGGGUUGGGCUUGCGCCCUCCCUGGAAUCAGGGCUGGGAGCCCGAGCGCGGCAUUUGGCCGUGUUGCCCCGCUGCCUGGCAGCUGAGAGUCGCUCCCGCCGCUGGGGGGGAAACCGAGCUCUGUGGCUCCAGGGGUGUUGUCCACCCGCCUGUAAUCAGGGUCUGGGUGUGCGAGCGCUUGUGCUCAGCUGGCAGCCUGUGUGGGGUGACCGCCCCGUUAGCGGGGUGCGGGUCAAGGUGCCCCCUGAGUGGGAGAGAAGGAGCCUCCCGCGGCCGGUAGGGAUGGGGGCUGCCCUGUAAGGUGGGGAGCGCCAGUGCCCCGCAGUCCCAGGCCCUUUGCAAUGGAUGCAGUGGCGGGGGUCCCCUGUAAUCAGGGAAGAUGACUCUUUGGCCGCUGCUGUGUGUGUGCCCAGCUCCAUUUGCCCAGUCUGCCCGCCUCUGUGAUCCCCCGCAGCACCGGCUGGAAGCGCGCCGUGCGCCAGUGAGGAGCUGCUGCAGGAGGAGGAGGAGGAGGAGGAAGAAGAAGAAAUGUCGUGGGGACGCGGGAGGCAGGAGCGACCGUGAAGGGGAUUCUUUUUACUGUCAAUCUCUUUCUAUUAACUUGUCUUUUGAAGCCAUAGUUAAUAUGUGUGUAUUGCUGUUGUUACUUCCCAAUUC